CGCACCGUUCCAUUUUGAAAUUGAAACGAGCCCAAAGCAGAAGUCCGUUAAGACCGUAAAAAUGGAGCUAGGUUGUCUCCACAAGCCAACCGGUCCAUUUUAAAGGUCAAACGAGCCUAGAGCAGAAUUUAUUGUGGACGUCCGUUAAGAAUUUAGGAACGGAGAAAGUUGGUCCCCACGGGCAAACCGGUCAAUAUUCAUGGUCAAACGAGUCCAUAAAUGUCCAUUAAAACAUUAACAAUGGAACCAGUUGGUCCCUAUGGGCAAACUAGCUCAUUUCAAAGUCAAGCGAUCCCCAGAGCCUCAAAAAUGGAUCCAGUUGGUCCCCAUGGGAAAACUGGCUCAUUUUUAAAGUCAAACAAUCCUUAGAGCAGGACAUUUGAUAAGACCUUAGAAUUGGAAACAAGUUGUCUCUAUGGGUAAAUCGGCUCAUUUUCAAGGUCAAACAUGCACCAGAGCAGAAAUGGAUUCAGUUGGUCCUUCGGGCAAACCAACCUAUUCUCAAGGUCAAACGAGCCCUAUAAUAGACCUUAGAAAUGGAGCAAUUUGGUCUCUACGGGCAAACCAACCCAUUUUCAAGGUCGAAUGAGACCAAGAGCAGACCUUAGCAAUGGAGCCAGUUGGUCCCGACUGGCAAACCAACCCAUUUUCAAGGACAUUCGAGCCAAAGCAGACCUUAUACAUAAAUCCAGUUGGUGUCCAUUGGAAAACCAGCCCAUUUUCAAUGACAAAUGAGCCAUCGAGCAGGUAAACCCCUAUUUUGUCAAUUUUCGUGUGCUAUAGUCCUUGGAUUUUUGGUGAUCUGGAACUCUGACUUGAUUUUGUAAAAUUUCUUAUGAACGUCCGUUAAGAACUUAGAUUUGGAUCCAAUUGGUAUCAAUGGGAAAAUCGACACAUUUUCAAGGUCAAACGAGCCUAGAGUAGGUAAACCCCUUAUUUUUUCAAUUUUCAUGUGCUAUAGUCAAUGGAUUUUCGUUGAUUCGAAAUUUCCAUGUGAUUUUUGCCAAAAAUUUUCAUAAACGUCCGUUAAAACCAUUAUAGAUUAUGACUCCAGAAAGCUUAAAAUUCACAAGCGAAAUUACUCGACCCAUGAUCAAGAGUUGGCUGGCAUAGUAUUUUCUUUAAAAAUAUGGUGUCAUUGUCUUUAUGGUGUUCAUGUGAAUGUGUUCACCGAUCACAAAAGUCUUUAGUAUUGAGUAGAUUGUCUAUAGGUAGUAUCGAUCAAUUUGAGGAAGAUAAGAAAGAGUUAGCAAAAGAUGUGCAUAGACUUCCACGACUAAUGGAUUCCACAGAAGGAGGAGUAAUGAAUGGGGUUGAAUCAUCGAUGUUAAAUUCUUUUAAGAAUAAAUUUGGUUAAGUAAUUUAAUUGAUAUAAAUAUCAAAGUUGA